GGGUCAAUAAUGGCAAUCCAAUGUCAUGAAGAAAGGUGAUGACAUAAAAUUCAUGCUCAAUAGGAUUACUCUGAGGCCC
ensembl:snoRNA